GACGAACGCUGGCGGCGUGCUUAACACAUGCAAGUCGAGCGGUAAGGCCCUUUCGGGGGUACGACGAGCGGCGAACGGGUGAGUAACACGUGGGUGACCUGCCCUCAGCUCUGGGAUAAGCCUGGGAAACUGGGUCUAAUACCGGAUAUGACUCCAUGACGCAUGUUGUGGGGUGGAAAGCCUUGUGCGGCUGGGGAUGGGCCCGCGGCCUAUCAGCUUGUUGGUGGGGGAUGGCCUACCAAGGCGACGACGGGUAGCCGGCCUGAGAGGGCGACCGGCCACACUGGGACUGAGACACGGCCCAGACUCCUACGGGAGGGCAGCAGUGGGGAAUCUUGCGCAAUGGGCGAAAGCCUGACGCAGCGACGCCGCGUGAGGGAUGACGGCCU
rnacentral:rRNA from 1 species